rnacentral:lncRNA from 1 species
GGGAGCGCUUGAGAGUAGGGUUAGCCUGAAUAGUUUGAUAGCAUAACGAUAAGCAACACGUAAAACGGAAAACAAGUGUUGGGGGGGUCUGACAGCUGGUCGAUCGGAUGGUGGUCCGAUCGGACGGCUGACCGUUCGGUUUAUAGUCCGUUCGGACAGCUGUCCGGUCGGUCGGUAGGCCGAUCGGAUGGCUGUUCGAGUGGAUUGUUUCUUCCUUUGAGAAGGAUGUGUUUGUGUCGGUCGAUUGGACGGUUGCGCGGUCGGCCGGCAGCCCGAUCGGUUAGGUACUUUUAACAAGACAAGUUCUCAGCAGGGUGUCAUCUGAUCGGACGGCUGUUCGAUCGGGUGGCACUCCUAGUGCAUUGAACAUGUUGAAAAUCGACUAAGGGUUGAAGUAUAGUAUCUCAUGAUCCGAAGAGUAAUCCGAUCGGAUGGUAGUCCAAUCGAACAGAUUUUCGUUCAAUACCAGUCUUCAAAACAAAUUGAUUAAGUGUAGGGCCAUGUGUUAGCCGAUCGGCUGACUGUCCGAUCGACUGGCUGUCCGUUCGGCCAACAGUCCGAUCGGUCAGCAUCCUGACCUGGUCGACCUGUUCGUCUAACACUUGGCUGUUCUGAUUUGUCGUUUUAUUGAGAUAUUUUGAGAGCGAGUUGAACAAUAGAAAACUCGUCUUUACUUGGUUCUCCUAAUCGGACAGGAAUCACCCAAAUCCGGCCGGUGAACUGUUCAGGACGGAGUUUAACGUUUAACCCGAAAUCGGUGAAUCUCAUGGAUAGAAUCCGGAUCUUGAGUCAUGCAACCACCGGAGUGAUUAGCAAGUCGGCACAAGCUCCGUUUCUAUCGGUUUGAAGGCAUUGAGUGUAAAAGAGUUGAAAGAAAGUUGGAAAAUCAUCUUUCAAUCCUUUUCACCGUGUAAAUGUUUAGAUCUAUAACAGAUCUUUGUUUGUUUAUGUGGAAAUCGGCUAGAUCCAAGUUAUUCUUGGUGGAGUGAGGCCAAAACAUGAAGUUCUUCAAGAACACCAUGAUGACAUCAUCCUAGAACACUUGAAUCUUGAUGAUUUCACGGUUUAAAGUUAAGAUUU